GCGCCCGUAGCUCAGCUUGAUAGAGUACCUGGCUACGAACCAGGCGGUCGGAGGUUCGAAUCCUUCUGGACGCGCCA
rnacentral:tRNA from 1 species